AAGGUGCUGGGUUUGAUCCUCAGCACCACAUAAAAAUAAAUAAAUAAAAUAAAGGUAUUGUGUCCAACUACAACUAAAAAAAAUAUUUUAAAAAAAAAGAAUACACAUAGGCAAAAUGGUUAUUUAGCUCCUCUGAGCCACUCUGGCUCCCAAAUAUUAGGAACAUAUUUAAUUUAAUGAGUAUUUAUUAAGUGUCUUUUUUACCUAAGUGGAAAGGAUCACUCCUCCUCUAUGAUCUCCCCCAGGGCAAAAUUUCUUGAAAGUAGAUAUAUUAUAUGCAGUUAAUUUCCAGUGUAAUAUCCUAGGACACUUUUAUUAACUCUGUGGCUAUUUAAUUAAUAAUAAUUAAAAGCAUUUUUCAAACUCAAUCUCUGAUCACUUGGUAGUAACCACCUCCAUAGGACAACAAAAGGGAGUCAGAAAUAGCCACGUGACUUCAUCUGGUUAAAUUAAUAGGGCUCACGGUGAAAUCUGUUAGAUAAAGACAAAGAUAAAUGCCUUUUGGGCAAAAUUGCAUGAAGUGAUUAAAGGGAGCAGUGCUGACCUUUAUGUUAAGCUAUAAUAGCUUUACAACCUCGUCUCUUCACCAAUAAUUGUUAAUUCCCAAUAUUUUCCAAUCCUUCUAGGCAUAUUAAAAAAUGAAAAAUUAUAUAUUAAAAGAAACUUUCCUUCUGGCCCCAAAUAAGAAUAU
rnacentral:lncRNA from 1 species